rnacentral:rRNA from 1 species
AAUCAAGCGUUUAAGGGCGUAUGGCGGAUGCCUAGGCACUGAAAGGCGAUGAAGGACGUGGUAUACUGCGAUAAGUUUCGGGGAGCUGUAUGCAGGCUUUGAUCCGAAAAUUUCCGAAUGGGACAACCCACCACUUUAUGUGGUACUUUAAACUGAAUACAUAGGUUUAAAGAGCUAACCCGGAGA